rnacentral:rRNA from 1 species
AUGGUGGUGAAAACACCAGACGGCCAGGCCCAUCCCGUCCCGGUAAUCUCUACCGGGCCGGUCCAAUCGAGCGAGCCGGGCUCUUCGUGUUCGUCGCCGUGUCCGGGCCGGUCAGGCCCGCACCACUCGGGCUCCAUAACACCAGACCGGGAGGGUUCUGCUCCCCAACCGGCGCCACCGAAACCCCUUGACGGCCGGACCGCCGCUGCCGCUGCCGCUGCCGCCCGUCGCCGCGCCCCUCCUCGGCGUCCACCGGCAGGACUCCAUAGUAUUACGGCAUCCCCUUCACACCCGCUUCCAUCAGGCGGUGGGCAUCUCGCGGUGUUCACCAGCAGGGGGGAGGGGGGCUCGAUUCGGCUGCUGAGAGCUGAGGGAGGAGCGGCCAAGAUGUCGGAUUUCCAGACCUCCACGCACCGGGAGCGGUGGAUCUUCCAGCCGCAGGACCUGGUGAAUAAGUGGACGACGGCGAACCGGCGUUCAGCGGAGAUCCUCGCCCAAUAUGGGACGACGCGAUUGAAGGUGGACCCUGUUGAUGGCUCGAUAUCGAACCCAGAACCCGUGCCCGACCAUGUUGUUGGGAGCUCGAGUGUGAAGCCUCUAUCCUGCGAAGAGGAGCAAGUGAUGCGGAUAUUUUACGAGCAAAAGAUUCAAGAAGUGUGCAGAGCAUUCAAAUUCCCCCAUAAAAUUCAGGCUACAGCGAUCAUAUAUUUCAAGAGAUUCUAUCUACAGUGGUCUGUAAUGGAGCACCACCCAAAGCAUAUUAUGUUAACUUGUGUAUAUGCUUCUUGCAAAGUGGAAGAAAAUCAUGUUUCUGCUGAGGAACUUGGCAAAGGGAUUCAGCAGGACCACCAGAUCAUUCUAAAUAAUGAGAUGAUUGUUCUGAAAUCUUUAGAUUUUGAUUUGAUCGUUUAUGCUCCAUAUCGUUCUAUCGAAGGAUUUAUUGAUGACAUGGAUGAUUUUUGUAGGGCAGGUAAUGGUGCACACCAACGGUUGAAGGAUUUGCAUCAAACUGCGAAUUCUGAGGUUGACACAAUGAUGUUGACUGAUGCACCUCUUCUCUAUACUCCUGGACAGUUGGCUUUGGCUGCUCUGUACAAGUCCAACAGUGCACUCAGUGUCCUCGAUUUUGAAAGAUACUUGGAAAGUGUUUUUUCAAGGCAACACUUUGAUUGUCCUGUCGAACAAUUUAUUCAGAUAAUCAGUUCAAUCAAUCACCUGGUUAGCCAGCUUCAACUACCUGGUACGAAAGAAAUGAGGCAUGCUGAUCGCAAGCUGAAGCAUUGUUUGGAUCCAAGCUCAAGCUCUCAUGAUGACCACAAGAAGAAAGAAAAGAAGUCAAAGCACAAAUCGAAAAGGACUGCCAGUGAUGCCCAGCUCAACAGCUAG